UUAUACCAUGGUAGUACCCACUACCAAGAAGUCUGUCGGCAACACGUAACCACUAACCAACUACUCUAAACAUCACCCCCACCACCUGCAUUCACAACACAGAAACAGCCAGUUUUACAGAUUUGAAGAUUACUGUUUUGUGGGAUAUUGUCUUGAGGUACAGCAGAAACUAACCGACGUUUCAGAGUGAAAAUACAACAUCACCUCAAGCCUAAUGGCCCUGUGCUGUAUUUUUCAAAGAAGUGAUUGAAGACAUACAAUGUAAAGUUUUAAGCACCUGAGGCACAAACAUUUUGCAAAAGUUCUUUGUCAAGUGCACAGGAUAUAUCAGUAAAUGAGAAAUGACAGCAUGAUUACAAAGAGUGAACUGGGAUGAAUAUGAAAGGAAAUAGCAAGAAAACAAGUUCCAGAAGCAUGAAAGAAUGUGACAUCACACAUCUUGCCUAUUAUUUUGCACCAAGGUAAUGCAUAUAAUCAUUUUAUGCAUUUUAAAAAGAACCAAUGACUGUGUAGCAAUCAGACAAGACACAGAAAACUGGGACAGUUUUGUCUUCCUGUUGGAUUGAAGAAACUGAAAAGACAAAUGGAUUUUAUAAAUAAAACUUUAACAUACUAACACAG